rnacentral:lncRNA from 1 species
AUUUACCCUUUAUUGUCACAUGAUAAUACUAAUUUACAUUUUAUAAACAAGGUUUGUCCCUCUCUAUGUCUAUAUAUUAAAAGGAAGGCAGAAAAGAAGAAUCCAAUGGAAAUAAGAAGACGGGCAAGUGCAAGCUGCCGUGGGUACUGGCAGGUGGACCAGCUGGUUUACAUCGAGAGACGUGGGGACUAGGGGAAAAGAUGCUGCUUUGCAGCUGGAGGAAAGCAGCAAGGAGCGGACGUGACUGGGGGGAGUCAAAAACGAAAAAGAAUAAAAUAAGAAAAGAAACGGGCAGACAAAAUGAAGAGGCCAAGUAGGUGAGAAAGGCAGAAAGAAUAAAAAACAGCUGCCUUUGGCAGCUGGCGUGACUGACAGAAGAGAGAAAUAAAUAAAAAAAAGGGAAAACAUGUGGGCUUGGCAGAGAGAGAUAGAGAAGAAGAAAGAUAUAAAAAUAAGAAGAGGCUGGCGUGAUUAAGGGGGUCGGGGGGAGCGGGAGAAAGGGGCUGCCCUUUGGGCAGCUCGCAGAGACGCAGGAACCAAAGCUGCCUUAGGCAGAGGAAAAACGGAAAGACUGGCGGGGAGAGAGAGGGAGACACUUGUGAAACCAGAGGAGAGAGCAGUCAGCGUGGAAGGCUGACGGAGCAGGGCGCGGACAGAAUAAGAAAAUAAGAAGGGAAGAACGCUGCCCUUUGGCAGUGAGGUCAGGGAGAGCUGGAAGGCAGGCGCACGGACAGACUGAAGCAUCCUCCUCUUUCGGUUUAAUCUUUCCAAACUUCUAUUUUAUUUUUGUUUUAAUAAUGUGUAAUUAAAUUUAUUUUGGCUAGAGGUUAAUUCAAAGCCAUGGAUAUAUUUGUAAUAUGAAUUGAUUACCUUCGGUUGUGAUUUCAUAAGUUGUGAAUUCAAUUUACUUAUCCGUU